UUAUUUUUAAAACCAUAAAGGGCCUCGCGCCCCUUGGUCCACGAGGUUUUUUUAAAGGAUUUACAAGUUUUGAUACUUACUCAAAUAUUCACAAAAAUAAAAUUAUUAGUAAA